GGGGUGAUCUUGAUCUCGUUGGAUUCUAUUUUUCAUCAAAAAUCUUACUGUAGGCUCAAUAUAGAUCGAAUCUUGAGGUAUCAAAUCCUAACAAUCUCCAUUUCGAUUUGAUAUUCGACCUCCUCCUAACUCCAAGGGCUUCUGGAUCUCCUCGCCCUCAUGCCUUGGGACAAUCGCCUGCUGAUCAUGGAUAGACAAACAUGGGAGU
rnacentral:lncRNA from 1 species